GUAUAAUGAGAUCUCUGCUUCACAAGAGGAGAGGAAACAUGACACAGGAAUGUUCUCUAAGCUUCAAGCAGUGUUGCAGUGCUAGUAAAGCAGAUCGAUCAAGUUUCUUUGUUGUCAGUUAGUUUUGGUCCCAAUUGCCUUAUGUACAAGGUGAGACUUGUAAAACAGAAAUUAAAACUGAAGCAUUCCCAUACAAAUUAUAAACCUUAUGAUUUAGCGUUAAGCCUAAAACUAUUAAUGGAUAAACUUCCAAUGGCCAGGAAUGAUGGAAAACCUCCUUAGCAUUACCUGUUGUGUGUAUUCAUUUGGUAUUUAAUCCUCUCCUAUGCUUCCCUUUUUCACUGCCUUGGGUUACAAUAUUAAUAUUCUUUUAAUGAAGCUUGUCUGUGUGAAUUAAAUUAUACUUGGGUUCUGAAGAAUUUAGAUACUGUGUUUUUUCACAGUUUUUUUUUUGCCCUCCAGAUUACUUACUUUUCAUGAGAAAAAAAAUGCUUCAGCAAGGUGUUGCCACUGGCUCUCAGCUGCAUGAAGAAAAGCUUUCAGAGCAGCACUUGGAGCAUCCAAUUUAGAUAAGGAUAAGUUCUAUUUGGAAAACUUUGGAGAAUGCUAGGAUAAGAAGGUUAUCUGCUGACCAGCUGAAUGACAGUCAAGGAAAUGAGCUGUCCUCCUUCCUGGACGUUAGUUUAUGAGGUGGGGAAAUUCUUAAAGAUACAACAAACAACAGGAAGCCUGUCUGCAAACCUGAGGAUGUGCCUUCUUCCUUUUAUUCAAGCAAAACUCCUGUGAACUUCGGUGAGAGAAUUAAGUCCUGUUUGCUAGCUUCCCCAGUGUAAAUGCUCUCAGCAAAAGGAAGAAACAUGCAAAUUUCAGUCAGAGCAUCCUACCCAAGAUCUGCCUCCAGCCACAGUUUUUUUGCAUCACAGGACCUGAUUUGCAUACUAUCUUCUUUGGAAUACCAGAUAACCCCAAGACAUUUUUGGAAACAAAAGUGUGAAGGUCAUCCUGGACUGGAUUUCCCAGGAUCAAGCUAUCUGAAGAACUAUUGGUGCUAUAUAAUUCCCCAGAUUCAACAUGUUCUGUGUUUAGCUGCUGACAAAGUUAUCUUUUCCUCUCUUUCCGCAUUUGCUUUCUUCUGGGAUUCACUGCUAAAAAUUAGAAAGAGCAGAACUGAGUAAAGGAGCCAUCAGUGUUGGAUAAAUGCCCUGCAGUGGUCAAGAGGUGAAUCCCCUAAAGCAGGAAUUCCAGAUAUUAGACUUGUCUAGCACACAUUUCAGGAAAUGGUCUCAAAGGGAGAAGUGUUUUAUACAUGCCAUGGAUUUCCAGUAAAGAUUCUGCUUAUCAAUGUAUACUGAUUACAGGUCAGGGUGUUCCUCAGCAAUGCAACACCUGGCACCUACAGCCUUUUACAAAAGUAUAUAAACACACACAAUUUCAUACACACAGAGUUGUAAUUUUGUUUUUGUGUUAGAUUUCUGUUUCUAAAACACCCAUAUUAUCCUUUAAAAAAACUGUACCAAGCAUAUAUUGUUCUGAAUAAACUAUAAAUAGCAAAUUAUUCUAAUUGUUUU
ensembl:lncRNA